CUACAGUGAUCCUUGCCCUUUUAGGCUUUUACAUUCCUAAGAUAUCUGCUUGCCCUGUUUGGUGUGUAUGUGUGUAUAACUCUGCUUACACUUCCUCUAACAGGAAAUUACCCCUCUUUCUUCUAAAUGGUUACCUGAACAAUAUUUUACUUUAAAAUUAAAAGUUGCAUUUACUCAUUUAACAGCAAUUAAAAGUUAAAUACUUUACCCUUCCACAUUAAAACAUUAAAUUUUGUUUAUAUUAUAGGCAUCAAUUCCCUUAUUCAAAUUUGUAGCAUUCAAAUCUAUUCAAUCGUUUUGAAGGUUAUUUUUUAAAACCAAGUCAAAGUAUAUAUGUAUGUGUAUUACACACGGAGACAGUUCGCUUUUAUUUUUUAAAUAAUUUUACUGUAUAGAGUGCCCUUAUCUCUUAAUUACAGCACCCUGAAAAUAGGUUUUCCUUAGCACUAAAAGUGAAACUUCAGAUGGUAAUAAAAGGGUUCCCUAUGAUUCGAAAUGUAUUAUCUACCUAUUUGUGGAAAAACUGAAAAUGUAAGAAGGCAAACUUUUCAAG